rnacentral:lncRNA from 1 species
CUGGUAAAUAGUCUAGUGACUCUAUUUCAAUAAUCAUCAGAAGUAUUAAGAAAUGAAAGUUUAUUAAAAUUCUGCAUGGUUUCUGCUUUCAGUUAGUGCACUGCAAUUAUCAUCAGUUCAGAAUAGGUAUACUAGUAUGUCAAAUAGGUUAACGAAAUUGUCAUAGUUCUUCAUCUUUAUUGUUGAUAUAAGUAACACAUGUGAUCAGUUCUGGUGUCCAUGAAAUAUCAUCAUCAAAUUUUCUUCCUUUCACUAUUAUUUACAGUUCUCCAGUCCCAAUGUUAAAUAUGUUCUAUUAUGCAUACAAAACUUAAAUUAUAAAACUAUUUACAUGGAAACGUAUUUAUUUUCCAUGAAUUUGAAAUUAUUUUGCCUUAAAAAUGGCUUUAUUUUGAUUUGCACAGAUUAAUCACA